UACGAAGGGAGCUAGCGUUGUUCGGAAUCACUGGGCGUAAAGCGCACGUAGGCGGAUUUGCCAGUCAGGGGUGAAAUCCCGGGGCUCAACCUCGGAACUGCCUUUGAUACAGCAAGUCUUGAGUUCGAGAGAGGUGGGUGGAAUUCCUAGUGUAGAGGUGAAAUUCGUAGAUAUUAGGAAGAACACCGGUGGCGAAGGCGGCCCACUGGCUCGACACUGACGCUGAGGAGCGAAAGCCAGGGGAGCAAACGGG
rnacentral:rRNA from 1 species